rnacentral:rRNA from 1 species
GGCUCAGGACGAACGCUGGCGGCGUGCUUAACACAUGCAAGUCGAGCGGUAAGGCCCCUUCGGGGGUACACGAGCGGCGAACGGGUGAGUAACACGUGAGCAAUCUGCCCUCCACAUCGGGAUAACCCCCGGAAACGGGAGCUAAUACCGGAUACGACCACCUCAGGCAUCUGAUGGUGGUGGAAAGUUCCGGCGGUGGAGGAUGAGCUCGCGGCCUAUCAGCUUGUUGGUGGGGUAACGGCCCACCAAGGCUUCGACGGGUAGCCGGCCUGAGAGGGUGACCGGCCACACUGGGACUGAGACACGGCCCAGACUCCUACGGGAGGCAGCAGUGGGGAAUAUUGGACAAUGGGCGAAAGCCUGAUCCAGCAACGCCGCGUGAGGGAUGACGGCCUUCGGGUUGUAAACCUCUUUCAGCAGGGACGAAGCGCAAGUGACGGUACCUGCAGAAGAAGCACCGGCCAACUACGUGCCAGCAGCCGCGGUAAUACGUAGGGUGCGAGCGUUGUCCGGAAUUAUUGGGCGUAAAGGGCUCGUAGGCGGUUUGUCGCGUCGGGAGUGAAAACUCAGGGCUUAACCCUGAGCCUGCUUCCGAUACGGGCAGACUAGAGGUAUGCAGGGGAGAACGGAAUUCCUGGUGUAGCGGUGAAAUGCGCAGAUAUCAGGAGGAACACCGGUGGCGAAGGCGGUUCUCUGGGCAUUACCUGACGCUGAGGAGCGAAAGUGUGGGGAGCGAACAGGAUUAGAUACCCUGGUAGUCCACACCGUAAACGUUGGGCGCUAGGUGUGGGACUCAUUCCACGAGUUCCGUGCCGCAGCUAACGCAUUAAGCGC